GGUGAACGCUGGCGGCGGGCCUACAAAAUGCAAGUCGACCGCAGGAACGUAAAGCUUUUCCCUUACAGGUUGGCGGUGGCCGGCGGGGUAAGAAGACAAUGGAAUCCACUUUUUCCUGGGGGAUAACCGUGGGAAAAUUACGCUUAUACCGCAUACGACCUACCGGGUAAAGCCAGGGGUCUUCGGGCCUUUCGCGGUUUGAUAUAGCGAUGUCGGAUUAGCUAGUUGGCGGGGUAAAGGCCCACCAAGGCGACGAUCCGUAGCUGGUCUGAGAGGAUGAUCAGCCACACUGGAACUGAGACACGGUCCAGACUCCUACGGGAGGCAGCAGUGGGGAAUAUUGGACAAUGGGCGCAAGCCUGAUCCAGCCAUACCGCGUGGGUGAAGAAGGCCUUCGGGUUGUAAAGCCCUGUUGUUGGGAAAGAAAAGCAGCAGGUUAAUACCCCGCUGUUCUGACGGUACCCAAAGAAUAAGCACCGGCUAACUUCGUG
rnacentral:rRNA from 1 species